rnacentral:tmRNA from 1 species
GGGGCUGACACAGCUUUCGACAGAUGGAUCUUAACAACCUACUUUGCAAGACGACCUCAGACGUAAUCUGAACAAUAAUUGCAAAUACAAUUGCAACCGCAUGGGCUAACUGCAAGCAAUUCGUUGCGACAGCAUUCGCUGUUCCUGCAGCAGUCCGUGUGACAGCCUAACUAUAUUAGGCCAUCGCAUCACUCAGGUGACAUAGAGUGAUUUUGCGGUGUCAUAUUUAUGUCACUUACGCGUUUAUAGGGCAGCAGCUAUAAAUGCGGAAAACUUUCUGCGCGCUGAUGUACAUUGUUUGUUUGAUUUCUAUUGUACUGAUGCGUAAAAAAAUACGAAUCAAACUAUGCUUGUAGACGAGUAGAGGGUUACCAUUUGGACCCGGGGGCAGUACCCGGCAGCUCCACCA